rnacentral:rRNA from 1 species
CCUACGGGCGGCAGCAGUGAGGAAUAUUGGUCAAUGGACGAGAGUCUGAACCAGCCAAGUAGCGUGAAGGAUGACUGCCCUAUGGGUUGUAAACUUCUUUUAUAUGGGAAUAAAAUGUUCCACGUGUGGGAUUUUGUAUGUACCAUAUGAAUAAGGAUCGGCUAACUCCGUGCCAGCAGCCGCGGUAAUACGGAGGAUCCGAGCGAUAUCCGGAUUUAUUGGGUUUAAAGGGAGCGUAGGUGGAUUGUUAAGUCAGUUGUGAAAGUUUGCGGCUCAACCGUAAAAUUGCAGUUGAAACUGGCAGUCUUGAGUACAGUAGAGGUGGGCGGAAUUCGUGGUGUAGCGGUGAAAUGCUUAGAUAUCACGAAGAACUCCGAUUGCGAAGGCAGUUCACUGGACUGCAACUGACACUGAGGCUCGAAAGUGUGGGUAUCAAACAGGAUUAGAUACCCCAGUAGUC